AGUGAACGCUGGCGGUAGGCCUAACACAUGCAAGUCGAACGGCAGCACAGUAAGAGCUUGCUCUUACGGGUGGCGAGUGGCGGACGGGUGAGGAAUACAUCGGAAUCUACUUUUUCGUGGGGGAUAACGUAGGGAAACUUACGCUAAUACCGCAUACGACCUACGGGUGAAAGCAGGGGAUCUUCGGACCUUGCGCGAUUGAAUGAGCCGAUGUCGGAUUAGCUAGUUGGCGGGGUAAAGGCCCACCAAGGCGACGAUCCGUAGCUGGUCUGAGAGGAUGAUCAGCCACACUGGAACUGAGACACGGUCCAGACUCCUACGGGAGGCAGCAGUGGGGAAUAUUGGACAAUGGGUGCAAGCCUGAUCCAGCCAUACCGCGUGGGUGAAGAAGGCCUUCGGGUUGUAAAGCCCUUUUGUUGGGAAAGAAAGGCAGCAGGUUAAUACCCCGCUGUUCUGACGGUACCCAAAGAAUAAGCACCGGCUAACUUCGUG
rnacentral:rRNA from 1 species